rnacentral:rRNA from 1 species
AUGAACGCUGGCGGUGUGGAUAAGGCAUGCAAGUCGAGCGAUUUUUAUAUGCUUCGCAAGAAAUGUAUAAGAGUAGCGGCAAACGAGCUAGUAACACAUUGGUACGUACCUCAAAGAGGGGCAUAGCUUCGAGAAAUCGGAGGUAAUUCCCCAUAAUCCCUGCGAGCAAUCGCAAGGGUAAAGUCGCAGGACGCUUUGAGAGCGGCCUAUGGCCUAUCAGCUAGUUGGUGAGGUAAUGGCUCACCAAGGCUAUGACGGGUAGGGGGCGUGAGAGCGCGACCCCCAGCGAUGGGACUGAGACACGGCCCAUACUCCUACGGGAGGCUGCAGUCGAGAAUCUUCCACAAUGGGCGAAAGCCUGAUGGAGCGACACCGCGUGUGGGAUGAAGGCCUUCGGGUCGUAAACUACUUUUUUAUGGGAAGAAGCGCAAGCUGACGGUACCAUAAGAAUAAGAGGUUGCUAACUCUGU